GCGGAAGUGGCGCAGUGGUAGCGCACGAUCUUGCCAAGAUCGGGGCCGCGGGUUCGAAUCCCGUCUUCCGCU
rnacentral:tRNA from 1 species